rnacentral:rRNA from 1 species
UACAGGGGGUGCAAACGUUGCUCGGAAUUACUGGGCGUAAAGCGCACGUAGGCGGCUUUGUAAGUUAGAGGUGAAAGCCCGGAGCUCAACUCCGGAAUUGCCUUUAAGACUGCAUCGCUAGAAUUGUGGAGAGGUAAGUGGAAUUCCGAGUGUAGAGGUGAAAUUCGUAGAUAUUCGGAAGAACACCAGUGGCGAAGGCGACUUACUGGACACAUAUUGACGCUGAGGUGCGAAAGCGUGGGGAGCAAACAGG